rnacentral:snRNA from 1 species
GUGCUUGCUUUGACAGCACAUAUACAAAAAUUGGAAUGAUACAGAGAAGAUUAACAUGGCCCCUGUGCAAGGAUGACAUGCAAAUUCAUGAAGUGUUCCAUAUUUUA